ensembl:lncRNA
AAUGCAAGCACCAUGAUGGUCUAGUUCAUUGCUGUGUUCCCAGCAGGUAGAAGAGUGUCUGGCCCAUAGUAACGAGUGCAGCUUGGAUGAAGAAGAGAGUAAAGAAAUAUUUGCUAAUGGACGAAACAAAACAACAUAUUUGCACCAUGCUGCGCCUUUCUUUUGACAAGGGCACAUGUGGUAAGGAAGCUUUUCUCCUUCAUAAAAUUGUUUACAGGAAACAGUGGGAAGGAGCAAAAGAAAAACAGUGUUUCUUUAGCAGCUGGAGGUUAUCUGAAUGGAGUCUUCAACUCCGUACAUGUUUUGUAAUGCAGAUUUCUUUGAAAAUGGUCUUGCCAGUGCACCUUAAAUACAUUUUGGAAUUAUUUUACCAUGAAAUUAGUUUUCUCCAUCAUUGGCUUAGUUGAAUCCCCCCACCUCCCCUUUUUUUUUGAUCAAUGCUGAGACAUUAAAAAUAAAGCCCUGGCUGCACAUGCUACUUUUAUAAGUUCCUAUCACAAAUCCAUCAGCAUGUGUUGAAAACCAGGUCAUUGUUGCAGCCUUGUUACUUGGUACUUGCUCCUCCACCUCUUGCCCUGAGCCUUCAUUCUGCACUUCUGCCCCUGGUGCUGGCCCACAUUUGUCUACUGAUUAUCAUUUAUUAUACAAAUAGAGAAGGCAAGGACAGGGCAGUGGCAACCCACUCCUGUAUUCUUGCCUGGAGAAUCCCAUGGACGGAAGAGCCUGGGAGGCUACAGCCCAUGGGGUUGCAAGAGUCAGGCUCGACUUAGCAACUAAACCAUCACCACCAGAGAAGGAAAGGAGCUUCGGGAGACAAAGUGGCACAGAAAUGUUUUGCAACUGAACGAGCCAUAUCAGAAAUUACUGAUCCAAAUAGCAACUCAUGGUUCAGAAAUUAUAGUGGAGGUCAGCUAAUGGUGAUGAUAUUGGUAGAGGGGAUGGUGGUAAGGGUGAUGGAGGUGGUCAUAGGAAUGGUAGUCGGAUGGUUGAUGGUAGCGAUGGUGACAGUGGAGGUGGUGAUGGUGAUUGUAGUGGUGGUGGUGGUGGUGUUAGUGAUGGUAGUGAAGGUGAUGGUGAUGGUGGUGUUGCUAAGUAACGGCAGUGAUGGUGGUGGUAGAAGAAGUAUGGCAAUGACUUGCAUGCAUGCCAAGUCGCUUCAGUCGUGUCCAACUCUGUGCGACCCCAUGGACAGCAGCCC